rnacentral:rRNA from 1 species
CCUACGGGUGACAGCAGUAGGGAAUAUUGCACAAUGGGGGAAACCCUGAUGCAGCGACGCCGCGUGAGUGAAGAAGGAAUUCGUUAUGUAAAGCUCUAUCGGCAGGGAAGAAAAUUACGGUACCUGAGUAACCUGCCCCGGCUAACUACGUGACAGCAGCCGCGGUAAUACGUAGGGGGCAAGCGUUAUCCGGAUUUACUGGGGGUAACGGGAGCGUAGACGGCAGUGCAAGUCUGGAGUGAAAGGCGGGGGCUCAACCCCCGGACUGCUCUGGAAACUGUACGGCUGGAGUGCAGGAGAGGUAAGUGGAAUUCCUAGUGUAGCGGUGAAAUGCGUAGAUAUUAGGAGGAACACCAGUGGCGAAGGCGGCUUACUGGACUGUAACUGACGUUGAGGCUCGAAAGCGUGGGGAGCAAACAGGAUUAGAUACCCUUGUAGUC